AUUGAACGCUGGCGGCAGGCCUAACACAUGCAAGUCGAGCGAGCGGCGGACGGGUGAGUACUGUCUGGGAAACUGCCUGAUGGAGGGGGAUAACUACUGGAAACGGUAGCUAAUACCGCAUACCAUACGAUGUGCCCAGAUGGGAUUAGCUGGGAGGUGGGGUACCGGCACACAUAGGCGACGAUCCCUAGCUGGUCUGAGAGGAUGACCAGCCACACUGGAACUGAGAGACGGUCCAGACUCCUACGGGAGGCAGCAGUGGGGAAUAUUGCACAAUGGGUGAAAGCCUGAUGCAGCCGUGCCGGGUGUGUGAAGAAGGCCUUCGGGUUGUAAAGCACUUUCAGCGGGGAGGCGUUACCCGCAGAAGAAGCACCGGCUAACUCCGUGCCAGCAGCCGCGGUAAUUC
rnacentral:rRNA from 1 species